UGGGGAAUCUUCCGCAAUGGGCGAAAGCCUGACGGAGCAAUACCGCGUGAGGGAGGAAUGCCUUUGGGUUGUAAACCUCUUUUCUCAGGGAAGAAGAUCUGACGGUACCUGAGGAAUAAGUAUCGGCUAACUCCGUGCCAGCAGCCGCGGUAAUACGGAGGAUGCAAGCGUUAUCCGGAAUCAUUGGGCGUAAAGCGUCCGCAGGUGGUUUCCAAAGUCUGCUGUUAAAGACUGGAGCUCAACUCCGGAACGGCGGUGGAAACUUGGAAACUAGAGUUCGGUAGGGGUAGCAGGAAUUCCCAGUGUAGCGGUGAAAUGCGUAGAUAUUGGGAAGAACAUCGGUGGCGAAGGCGUGCUACUGGACCGUAACUGACACUCAGGGACGAAAGCUAGGGGAGCGAAAGGGAUUAGAUACCCCUGUAGUCCUAGCUGUAAACGAUGGAAACUAGGUGUGGCUUGA
rnacentral:rRNA from 1 species